UACGAAGGGGGCUAGCGUUGCUCGGAAUUACUGGGCGUAAAGCGCACGUAGGCGGCUCUUUAAGUCGGGGGUGAAAUCCUGGAGCUCAACUCCAGAACUGCCUUCGAUACUGUAGAGCUUGAGUUCGGAAGAGGUGAGUGGAAUUCCUAGUGUAGAGGUGAAAUUCGUAGAUAUUAGGAAGAACACCAGUGGCGAAGGCGGCUCACUGGUCCGGUACUGACGCUGAGGUGCGAAAGCGUGGGGAGCAAACAGG
rnacentral:rRNA from 1 species